UACGUAGGGCGCAAGCGUUAUCCGGAAUUAUUGGGCGUAAAGAGCUCGUAGGCGGCUUGUCGCGUCGACUGUGAAAUCCCGCGGCUCAACCGCGGGUCUGCAGUCGAUACGGGCAGGCUAGAGUUCGGUAGGGGAGACUGGAAUUCCUGGUGUAGCGGUGAAAUGCGCAGAUAUCAGGAGGAACACCGAUGGCGAAGGCAGGUCUCUGGGCCGGUACUGACGCUGAGACGCGAAAGCGUGGGGAGCGAACAGG
rnacentral:rRNA from 1 species